UACAGGGGGUGCAAACGUUGCUCGGAAUCAUUGGGCGUAAAGCGCACGUAGGCGGUUUGUUAUGUCGGAUGUGAAAGCCCUUGGCUCAACUGAGGAAGUGCAUCCGAAACUGGCAAGCUAGAGUACUAAAGAGGGUCGCGGAAUUCCCGGUGUAGCGGUGAAAUGCGCAGAUAUCGGGAGGAACACCAAUGGCGAAGGCAGCUCGCUGGGACGUGACUGACGCUGAGACGCGAAAGCGUGGGGAGCAAACAGG
rnacentral:rRNA from 1 species